AUUGAACGCUGGCGGCAGGCCUAACACAUGCAAGUCGAGCGGAGCGGCGGACGGGUGCGUAAUGCCUAGGACUCUGCCUGUUAGUGGGGGAUAACGUCCGGUAACGGGCGCUAAUACCGCAUACUCUCACAUGCGCCUAGGGCGGAUUGGCUAGUUGGUGGGGUAAAGGCCUACCAAGGCGACGAUCACUAUCGGGGCUGAGAGGAUGAUCAGUCACACUGGAACUGAGACACGGUCCAGAUGCAUACGUGAGGCAGCAGUGGGGAAUAUUGCACAAUGGGCGAAAGACUGAUCCAGCCAUGCAGCGUGUGUGAAGAAGGUCUUCGGAUGGUAAAGUACUGUAAGUGGGGAGGCGUUACCAACAGAAUAAGCACCGGCUAACUUCGUGCCAGCAGCCGCGGUAAUGC
rnacentral:rRNA from 1 species